ACGAACGCUGGCGGUAUGCUUAACACAUGCAAGUCGAACGAGACAAGAUGGAAGUGCUUGCACGGAAAUCUUAGAAAGUGGCGAACGGGUGAGUAACGCGUGGGUAACCUGCCCUAUGGAAAGGAAUAGCCUCGGGAAACUGGGAGUAAUGCCUUAUAAUAUAAAGAAGUCGCAUGGCUUUUUUAUUAAACGCUCCGGUGCCAUAGGAUGGACCCGCGUCCCAUUAGCUAGUUGGUGAGAUAACAGCUCACCAAGGCGACGAUGGGUAACCGGUCUGAGAGGAUGAUCAGUCACACUGGAACUGAGACACGGUCCAGACUCCUACGGGAGGCAGCAGUGGGGAAUAUUGGACA
rnacentral:rRNA from 1 species